rnacentral:lncRNA from 1 species
AGAGGAGGGGAGACACCAGUCUUCUAAAGCAGAGCAAGCCCCUUCUGAGAACUACAGAGGAAGCAAAUGUUGCAGAGGAGAAGAAAUACAUUACAUUAAUUGUGAAAAGCAUUUUUGGCAUCCCUCAAAGUGGACGUGUUUACCUGCAAGCUGAUGCAGAGUAUACAGGCUUCUGUACAGAUCUUCCAAAGAAGCAUCGUUGCCAGGCAGCUUGAUUGUGGUAGAAUCAAUUCAGCAUGCCAAAUCAUAGCCAUGGAAAAACAAGUUCCCUGUCCUGAUGAUACUCAGUGCCUCCCAGCACUUUCAACCCAUCUUUGCAGGAUCAAAAGGAGACUAGGAGGACAGCAGCUGCCUGAGGAUCCCACUGGAAGGGCUGGCUUCCAGAGGCCUUUCCUCCCUCAGGCUGCAGUAGGUCCAGGCGUGAAAUUCCCAGGUUUGACCUUCAGGGGCCCUACAGCUGCCUUGGUGCUCAUAUCCACCACCUUUCAGGACUGUUGUGGUCAGAGCCCUUCUACUUCCUCACCCUGCUGUGGUAGGGAGGUUCAAGGUGUCCUGGCAGCAGGAAGCUCCUUUGCUCCACCCUCUGCCCUGCAUGCUGGCUGA